rnacentral:rRNA from 1 species
UUAAUUAUAAAAAUAAUUUAAAAUUUUUUUGUCCUAGUAUUUAUUAAAAAAAGAUUGUUAUAUUUAUAGUUUAUUAGUAUUGUGAAAGAAAUUAAUGUUAAUUUUUAAAAGAAUAUUUUUAGUACCUUUUGUUUCCGGGUUGAUUAAAAUAAAUAAUUUAUAUUUAUUUUCUCAAAAUUUUCAUAGUUAAUUUUAUUAUUUAAGUUAUUGUUUUAUAAAUAUUUAAAAAAUAAAUUUUAGAUUUGAUAUUUAAUUCGUUGAAAAAUAUUUAGUUAUUUAAGAUUUAAAUUUAAUUUAUAAUUUUAAUAGUUAUAUUAAUUUGUAUUAUUUAUAUUUUAAAAUUAAAUUAUUUUAGGGAUAAGCUUAAAAUUUUAAUAAAAUUUUAUUUUAUAUUAAUAAUUUAUAGGAAUAGAAAUUUUUAAUUUAAGUUUGUAAAAAUUUAUUAUUUGUAUUUAUUAUAAUUUAUUAUAUUUAUUUAUUUUUUAUAUUAAAUUUUAUAAAUUAAUUAUUAAUUUAUAGUAAUAAUGAUUAAAUUAGUAUAAUUGAAAUUUAUAAAUUAUGAAUUCGGCAAAUUUUAUUUUCAUCUGUUUAACAAAAACAUUGUAUUAAGAUUUAUUUAAUAUAUGAUCUGCUCAAUGAUAUUAAAUUAAAUAGCUGCAGUAUUUUGACUGUGCAAAGGUAGCAUAAUAACUAGUCUUUUAAUUGAGGACUUGUAUGAAAGAUUUGAUGAGAAAUAAACUUUAUUAUUUAUAAAAUUAAAAUUUUAUUUUUAAGUAAAAAAGCUUAAAUUUUUUAAAGGGACGAUAAGACCCUAUAAAACUUUAUAAUUAUUUGAAUUUAUUUUUUUUGUAAAUUUAUAAAUUAAAUUUUAAUAAUUAUUUUAUUGGGGUGAUAAAAAAAUAUUAAUAACUUUUUUUAAAUUUAAACAUUAAUUAAUGAUUAUUUGAAUUAAAAUUUUUAAUUAAGGGAAAAAGUUACUUUAGGGAUAACAGCGUAAUUAAUUUUUUAAGUUCAAAUUCAAAAAUUAGUUUGCGACCUCGAUGUUGAAUUAAGAAUAUUUUUAGGUGCAAAAUUUUAAAAUUUAGGUCUGUUCGACCUUUAAAUUCUUACAUGAUUUGAGUUCAAACC